UUAGCUGGUCUGAGAGGAUGGCCAGCCACACUGGAACUGAGACACGGUCCAGACUCCUACGGGAGGCAGCAGUGGGGAAUAUUGGACAAUGGGGGAAACCCUGAUCCAGCAAUGCCGCGUGUGUGAAGAAGGCCUGAGGGUUGUAAAGCACUUUCAGUGGGGAGGAGGGUUGAUAGGUUAAGAGCUAAUUAACUGGACGUUACCCRCAGAAGAAGCACCGGCUAACUCCGUGCCAGCAGCCGCGGUAAUACGGAGGGUGCGAGCGUUAAUCGGAAUUACUGGGCGUAAAGGGUGCGUAGGUGGUUUAUUAAGUUAUCUGUGAAAUCCCUGGGCUUAACCUGGGCAGGUCAGAUAAGACUGGUAGACUCGAGUAUGG
rnacentral:rRNA from 1 species